rnacentral:tRNA from 1 species
GGCCCAGCGGGUUGCGGCGACCAUGGCGCUCCGCCAGAUCGCCGGCGUCGAUGUCGACGGCGAUGACCCGGUCGCCGCGCGCCUCGGCCA